rnacentral:rRNA from 1 species
AUGUCCGCGCAGGUAGCGGCGCUGAGGACGACGGGGGAGAAUACGAUGGCGACCACGGCGUGGUCGUACGUGGAAUACAUGGCGCGGUGGGAGCGCCAGGUGGAGCGGCGGCAGCUGUUCCUCCGGAGCUACCACUUCUCCCGCGACGCCGAGGUCUCGCCGCGCGCGCGCACGCGCCGCGUCAUCUGGGCCGGGGCGCGACGGCUGCGUCGAGCCGCCGCCAAGGGGCUCCGCCGCCUCCGGGCGCGCAUACGCCUCUGCUUCGGCUGGGCCGCGCCCGCGCUCCGCCGCCGCUCCUGCCCGCGCCGGUUCCGCUACGGCCGCAUCCCCCGGGCCACGAAGGCGUCGCCGGCCCCGGCCGCAAACGCCGCGUCCGUUUGCUUCUGGUAG